rnacentral:rRNA from 1 species
GACGAACGCUGGCGGCGUGCUUAACACAUGCAAGUCGAACGGAAAGGCCCUGCUUUUGUGGGGUGCUCGAGUGGCGAACGGGUGAGUAACACGUGAGUAACCUGCCCUUGACUUUGGGAUAACUUCAGGAAACUGGGGCUAAUACCGGAUAGGAGCUCCUGCUGCAUGGUGGGGGUUGGAAAGUUUCGGCGGUUGGGGAUGGACUCGCGGCUUAUCAGCUUGUUGGUGGGGUAGUGGCUUACCAAGGCUUUGACGGGUAGCCGGCCUGAGAGGGUGACCGGACACAUUGGGACUGAGAUACGGCCCAGACUACUACGGGAGGGAGCAGUGGGGAAUAUUGCACAAUGGGCGGAAGCCUGGUGCAGCAACGCCGCGUGGGGGAAGACGGCCUUCGGGUUGUAAACCGCUUUCGCCUGUGACGAAGCGUGAGUGACGGUAAUGGGUAAAGAAGCACCGGCUAACUACGUG